ACCCGACGGGCAUUAUCGAGUGUCUGAUGGGUAACGGCUCCAGACGCUGUAACACGGGGCGUUGUUAAAGGGCUUCAAGAUCAAAUUGAAAACUCGAGAUUGCCUUCGGAAGGAUUGGGGUGGUGGUGGCUACGUUACCUUCAACUGCUAGUCCAUAUUGGCCACGUUUGGGGCUUUUGAGGAAGUUUUGAGUUUUAAAUCCUGAGAUGCGCAGGAAGGUAGUACCUACGUUAAUAUAAUUAGCAAAUGGGAUUGUGGAAAGUAAGGGAGGAUUGUAGUUAACUUUAUUGUAUCCCUUAUGACUUGGGGUGUGGUUUCAAAGGCCUUUCCGUCGCUGGGUUCUUCUGGGUUGGGAUUAGAGCGUUGCAUUCUGGGACACAGUCAAGGACUCCAGGUGGGUAAAACCUGUUCCUCCCUUGGGCAAAUAGUGACCUUGUUUUCUGUUUGCUGCCCUUUUAGGUUAGUGUCCAGAAUGCUGUUUGAGGGAUGAGACACUUUUUAAAAGAGUGGCUUCACCGCCCCACCCCCCAUUCUCUCAGUCCGCUAGUGUAGAAGUCUUCACAGCCAGAAAACUUUUUCCAGGCUGUUUGACGAUGCACUAAUGCUAUAAACUUGAAUGUUCUUAAGUAGGGAAGUCUCAUGGGUUUUUUUUUUCCCCCUUACUAAAAAAUUUAAAUACAUAACAGUCUUUACAUAGUAAUUACAAACUUCACAAUGGUAACCAUGUGAUAAUUGGCUUAAUAUUUGGUCGUUAUAGUAACUCAGAACUUGGUUUGGAAAUAUCCAAAAAUGACCGAAAGUAAUUGUACUGUCUUUCUAAAUUAGGCAAAUAAUUAUUUGGAUGGAAAUGUUUAGCAUAUGGGUUUAUAUACAUUUCUUUAGUUGUCAAAGUGAGAUAGUUUUAGUUUCUAAACUUGGAGUAUAUAAGUUGUGCGUGUUUUGGGGAGCAACUGCUGGUCUGUCUUAAGUAUUUUACUCCAAUAUAAAGUAGGAGCUAGUUUAUUACCCACUGGAAUCCAGAGGUCAAAAAAAGUGUUUUAUUUUGAAACAUGAAGUGUUUAAGCUUGCUGUUCUGCCUUAGCAGUUGCUGAGAUGGUGGGUGUGUUGCCACACUAGCUUGAGCUUAACUGACCAACCUUUACAAAAGAAUUAGAGAGGUGCUCUUGACAGGGACUGUGUACUGGUGAUAUGACACAGAGGUGUGAGUCUAGGGUGUUUUGUUUAUAGUAGAACUAUGUGUGUUGGAUAAAGUUCAAAACUUAGUGAUUUUGUGAAGGGGUGAUUACUAGGAACAGAGUAGACUGCUCCUCAAAUAUCAUGGGAGUCCUUUUGGGCAUUUUUGAGGGAGUCUCCAUAACCCAGGGUGUCCUGGAACUCCAUGUAGACAGCUCUAGCUGCAUCUGCCUUACUAGUCCGGGGAGGGACCUGUGUGUCAUCAGGCCCAGCCUGUCCUUACAGAAAUAAAAUGGAGGAUUUCUUUGCACUUGAGUCAUAUAUUGCACUUUUUGUAUUCCAACAAAAACUGGGUUCUGAGAAUAGUUUUCCUGGUACAUGAUCAGUAGUAAUAUACAAAUAAAAUCAUGUACAUUAUAAAUGACCCCAUAUGAAGUGCAGCCUCUUGACAUGACUUAUCAGGUAGGAGAUACUUGAGGCUCCUUGUAUCUGAAUGCCUUGUAGAGACAGUACUGUUUGUGAAAGCUAAUUGACAAGCAUAAUGUCUGUCACUUAAGGCAUAUCAGUGGCCGGGCGGUAGUGGUGGUGCACGCCUUUAAUCCCAGCACUUGGGAGGCAGGGGUAGGCAGAUUUCUGAGUUCAAGGCCACCCUGAUCCCAGAGUGAGUUCCAGGACAGCCAGGACUAUACAGAGAAACCCUGUC
rnacentral:lncRNA from 1 species